rnacentral:snRNA from 1 species
AGCAGCGAUCAAGGCACGUAACUGAAAGUGGGACAAUACAGAGAAAAUUAAUGUGGCCCCUGCGCAAGGAUGACACACAAAUUUGUGAAGGCGCCCAUAUUUUU